CAGAGCAGGAGUGGAAAGCCCUUUUGCCUAAGAAUGUGUAAAUAUCAAGAGCUGUUCCUUAAAAGCAAAGAGAAGGUAAGUCAACGCUUCUAUGUUCUCCACAUCAGGGAAAACUGGACUCUUUUAAGAUUCAACCAUCAAACUUUCUGCUGUUAUUUUUGGCUCAUAUUCACAAACUCUCUGUGCUAUCUAAAAACUCCUGUCAAUGUCAGGUCUUAAAACAGAUCUAUGUGCUCCUGAAGUUUCAUCUCAAAAAUAUAUGAGGAAGUGAAGAGUUGUGGUGGGUGAAUAUGAAAGCUCUGCCUCAAGGCACUGACCCCUAUACUGUUGAAUGGGCCAGUGCCUCAGUGCGUUUGCCCCAUGGCCCUGAUAAAAAGAGUCUCAGUUUUACUGUAAGUUGUAUGACACAUAGAGGUUUCACAUGGGAUUACUUAAACAGAGUUAACAGGUUCAGCCUUUACCAUUAACAGGAGGUUGCACAAAGGCUUAAUUCUAGCGUCUUUCAACAGAAUUAACAUAGUGAGUCUCAUUUUCACUGUAAAUCAUUAAAUAUUCAAAGGCUUAAUCUGAAAAGUCCCAGUUUCACUGUACAUAACAAGUUACAUAAGGGCUUACUGUUGCAGAAUUAAAAUGGUGUCUUCAUUUCCCCGUAAAUAGCAAGCUGCACAGAGGUGGCUAACUAACCCUCUGGAUAACUAUUUCAUUGUUGUCAUGGUGAAUCUCAGUUUCACUGUAAAUCGUGAGUUAAAUUCUUUGACACUGGUGAACUUUGUGAUUUGUUUGGCCUGAUAAGUUUCAUUUUCACAGUGAAAAGUAAGUUGCAUAAAGAUUCCACUCCACAGAAUUUAAAGGUGAGUCUUUGUUUCACUGUUAAUAGCAGAACAGAGUCUGCCCUCUGGAUAACUGCAGCAGUAUGAAAAUGGUGAGUCUCAGUUUUAUUGUAAAAACUUUACAGAGGCUUUCCACUAGCUUAUGAAAGGGUAUGUACCAGAAGAGGACAAGAGAAAGAAAUUGUCCUCAGAUUACCGCUGAUGGCAGCUGGUGUCAUUCUGGUGGAUUUGUGCCUCCUGCUUUUGCUCUCCAUUCAGGCUGUUUUUUCCAGCAGAAAGCGAGGUCUGCUGAUACCUGCUUGAUAGAGAGCUUUCAAAGAUAAAAACUGGAAUGCUUCUUAUCGUAACAUCUACAGAAAAGAUUCUGUCAUUUCAUGCAGGAUCUGUUAAUAGAGGUGAACAGUCUGCGGGUUGGUGCAGUCUAAAGUUAGAAGCUGAUGAUGACUUAGAGCUGGGAUUUAUGGUUCCUGACUCUGAGGAUGGUUUAUGUGGAGAGAAAAAAGGUUUGGAAGAGAGAUUGGAGGUAAUUAUUUGGACCCAUUGACCCCUCUCUCUGAAACAGAUCUGUCAGAGGAUCAGUGCGUUAAAGGGCAGAGCUGUUUUGGAAAGGACAAACAGAUCAGACGAAGAGAGACAGAGAGGGAGAGGCAGCCGAGGUAUUCUCACAAAGACACCUUUAAAAUGUUUUUACAGACAGACACAGACAGACAGACAGAGACGUGUGGACUCAUGCAGAAACAGACGGUGGAUGGAUGUAGGUGGAGGUGGAACAGAACGUCUCAGCUCUCUUCAUGUGUUUCCAAAGCUGGAGAGGACUAAGAGUCUCUGCAGCUCGGCACAGUCGCUCUUUGUAACCCCGACUCUCUGAGGAGAUCGGACCGCUCCAGCUGGAUCUCACCCAGCCAGAGUUUCUCACGUCCAACUCUGACAAUCAGACACAGGGGGGUGGACGGGAUAUUUUUACUUUCCAAAAUAGCAACUAAAACGUACCUGAUACUGCCCACAGCAAACACACACACUUUAGGAAACACGCACACACACACACAUACACACACCCAGCAGGCAGCAGCUCCAGCUCUCUAACAGCAAACAGAGGCGUUUUUAAACAGAGCUCUUUGUUUUAUUGCAUGCAGUGUUACUGCUCUGCUGGGAGCUCUAAAUACAGCAGGAACAAUACUCACUGUGUACACACUGAUGAUGUUAUAAACUGAUACUACCACACUGAGUUUGGCAGCUCAGAGAAAGAGAGAGAGAGAAAUUCAAAUCACUGCAGCCUUCAUUAAUGCCAUCCAUGCAGUAGUGUUUCUCAUGCACAGAUGUUAUCCUGUUUCUGAUUCAGAAGACUGCUAAAAUAACUGCAUACUAUAGUAGAUUUGAUUUUAGUCAAGGAAGAUGAUCUAGCUCAAAUCAGUGAUCACACAGCCUGUUAUAAGUGGCAGUGAGUUGCUAGUAUUCAUAGUGUGGUAACCCCUAAAAAGCUCAAGGCCUGACCUUCCUUACACUCAUUAAAGAGUUUAUGAUUUGUAAAACUGCAACAAAACAUGCUUGUUGUUACAUAUACACCUAGAUGCUGCAUUGGCUGUGUUCUCCGGCAGCUGUGAUACAGCAGUAAGUCCACCAUACUGCUAAGGGCAAGUCCGCCAUGUUACUAAACACAAACAGAUGUGCAGACUGUGGUUUUUAGAAUAAAAGGCACUAAUGUAAUUUUAUAUUUGACGGCUUUCCAUUAACUGUUUUGAUAUCCAACAAAUAUAUAAUUUAUGAUCUUGUGCCUCAGAAUUUUAACAUUGUUCUGAAGUAAACUCACAAUUUUAGUCAUAACAGUAUAUCAUCCAAUUUAACAACUUACACUUAACUUGUCCCUACCAACAAAACUUUAUGUCCUGUGCUUUUUCUCUUCUUCUUUUGGGUUGUAUGCCAGUUGAUUACACCUCUUUUUUGUAUAUAAUGUAUGUCUAUCUACUCUGUAUUUAUUUACUUAGCUGCAUACCCAGUUUUUGUGAUGUGUAGUGCAGUGCAAAUUCAUAUUAAUGCCUGUGCAAUAUAUUAUAAGUCAAUUUAGCUGUCAGUGUUUUUGUCCAUAUUAGGUAAAGUGUUUGAGACAUUUGGACUGAUUAAACCGGUGAGGUGGUCUCUGCUUCCUCUUUAAAUUACUUCAUUAAUUGAUGCAUAUUGGUGGUAAGCUCUGCAAACACAGAUGAGUCAGAAUUAGACCCAUAUUGUCAUUCAACAACAGCCAGUAGACGUCUUUCCAGAGUGCCCUCAGCAAUAUGGCGGCAACAUCUAUGACCCAUCAAGUCAAUGUAGCAUUGGCGUAUACAUGACGGCCAUGGGUACAACUGUAUGACCAGCUUGUAGAAAUGCACCAUAUUAGCUGCUUAUCAGUGCAGCUUUUAGUUUAAGGUUAAACACUUAGAUGCUAACUUAGCCAACACUAUACAUACAAACACACGCUGACCUCUACUUAAGUCAAAGUGUCUGCUGUGAUUUGUUUGUAUUUAUUCCAAAUUUUGACUCUCUGGUUCUUCAUCCACCAGUGUUUUUUUCCCCAGUGUGGUUUUAGUGCUUCUCUACAGCUGCUCACCUGUCUGCAGCUCCUACCUGUCAGAGUUCAGUCAGGUCAGAAACCACAUCCAUCAGUCAGUGAGGUUUGUUAGUGUGUUCUGUCAGAGCUGAGGGGGUUUUAUAAAUCACAGAGAGAGCUUUAACUACAAGCCUGCAGCUCCUCCUUCUCUUCCUCCUCACAGAUACACUGAUAACAGCAGACAAUACACAUCUUUGAACGCAAAAAGGGAGGAGAGGAGUAUGACUGAUAAGCACACACAUACACACUCAGAGUGGUGUGUGACAGCACAUCUCCAUGAGUGUGUUAUCAUCCGUCUUUAUGAGUCUCUGACAGGAAGUUCAGCUGUACUCUAAAUUACACGUCUGUGUGUCCUCCAUCUGCUCCACCAAACUGAAACAAAGCUUUCACAUUUAAUGGUCAGGAGCGAGUUAUUACACAUGCGCACGUAUGCACGCACGCACACACACACACUCCUGCAGAACAAGUUCAGUGUGUAUUAAACAAGCAGACAGUUGUAAAGACAGUAUGCCUCCUGGCUCUCAGCCAUUUUUCCAUCUAAUGUCCCUCCUCUUCUCUCUCUCUCUCUUUCGCUCUCUCUUUCGCUCUCUCUCGCUUUCUCCCCCUCUCUCUCUUUAUCUCCCCCUCUCUGUCUGCCUCUCUUUCUCCUCUAUUUCACCCUGCUAGCAUCAACAGGAAUUAUUCCUCCCUCUCUCCUCUCUUUGUUUGGGGCGCACACUUUCAGAAAUGAAUCACCCUGCAGUCACAUGCUGCAGAAAGAAUUAAGAGACAAAGUUGCUGACAGGGAAAACUUGUAAAAACUUGGCUAAGAAAACUGAAAAGUAACUCUCUGAGUGUUGUUGAUUACUGUCAAAGCUUGAGGCAGUUUGAGUCUAAAGUUGCUUGAACCUAUAACAGUAUAAGUCCCUAUAGCAGGUUAAGCCUUUAGCAGCCUGAGCCUAUAUCUUUCUUAACGUAUCGCAGUAGAGAGGGUGAACUUUGAUAAGUAGAUGCUUCCAAAGAGGAAGGGCCUCUUGACUGAAGCCCUACCUCGCAUACUUCUUUGACAGACCUCAAGUUUUUAUUGUUGCAUCAGUUAUGCAAAUCAUGUCCCAUGUCUGUUUCCUGUACUAUAUUUUUGGUAAUUUUUAUGGGGUACUCUUUAGCUCUGCAUUUCAUAACACGUCUUUAGAUGAGUUUGUGCAGCAUUUGAGUCCAAGUCUAACGUACCUGUGAGCACAAUAAAGAUUAACAUGUUGCAACCUGUUGCAGUGUGCUAUGAUAAAAACAGAUCAGAUACAGUUACGGAUUUUAGUGUAAAGCUAUUUCAAGGCUGUCAUGGUAACUGAAACAAAAAAUAAUCACAAAUUAAAAUGGACAAGGGUGGAGGAACAUGUUACACCAUAAACAUCCCUCACAAAUGCAACUGACUCAUGUACAUGCCAUCUUUGGAGGAUUGUUUGUGAUGUUUUUAUUUUGACAUUUUUACUGUCUCUCAUAUACACAGCUUUAUUGCAAUAUAUACUUUUAUCUUUAAACAAUGUUUAUUCUGGUUCUGGUAAAUAAGUUAUAGAACUGAAUGAAAACAACUGAAUAUAUGAAUCGUAUAUGAAUCCACAUUAAAUUUUGGCACAUCAGUUCAAAAGUGUCUGAUGGUCUUUCAGAAAGCUAUACAUUGGCCCAUUUUAGCAAUAAAUAUAAGACAGUCUUUUUCAGACAUCAGCGUUUUUUUGUCCUCAUCAUGAGGCAAAGCUUUGUAAACAAACUUCUGUCAGAGACUUUUCAACUUUGGGUAAGGACAAUCUGAAGAGUGAAUCCAUUAAAUACAUUAUAUAUAUAUAUAUAUAUAUAUAUAUAUAUAUUAUAUAUAUAUAUAUAUAUAUAUAUAUAUAUAUAUGUGUGUGUGUGUGUGUGUGUGUGUGUGUGUGUGUGUGUGUCUGUCUGUCCCCUUGUCUGUGUGUGGUCUGAUUCUCCUGGGUUCAGAGAGCGUCUCUGUUCUGGAGAUCAGAUCUUCAUCCUAAGAGGACAGAUGUGGACAAACAGAGGGAGAGAUUUGAGGACAGCUGCAGCAGAUACUCAGACUGGAGCUCAGAUUUCGGUUCCUCUUCCUUUUCCUCUCUCUCUCUGCUAGUUUUCUCCCCAUGCCUCAGCCUACACGAUUAGCAUCUAGUUAAAUAAACUUACAAUCUUUACUUCUUCACAGGGAUGCAGUUCAGAGUACAGUUUGAAAGCAAGACGGGUCUGUUGAGCCUGUUUGAAGUCCUUCUAAAGACUCUUUGAGAAAACAAGUUCAGAUAUGUGAAACUUUUUGUGAAAAUAAAAAAGGUGUUUUUUCUUUUUUUUUAAACCUUUGAACAAUGCUGAUUUGGGACAGCAAUGCAUUUGCACAGAUAAAAUAAAGGUUUUGCAAUUCUGAAAAAGUGCUUUUAAAAGUCUACAGUCAUUGGAUUAUCUGCUCCAGGCCUGAGUUGUCAAGGUAUAGCAGUUUUUUAAUCAGUGCCUGUUAUGUGGUCUGAAGGGUUUUUUUUAAAUACAUAAAAAACUGGGUUUCACAAAGUUGAAAGUAGAUUUUAAACACCCUGAAGGCUUACCUAUAUGACAAACAUACUGCUGAACAGUAAGGUACACAGAAGACGAAGACAUUCUGCACUCCAAGAUAAAGUCUCUAUACCCUCUUCAGCAUUGAGGGACCAUUUCAAUCAGUGAGAAGUAAAUUAAUAUUGGUACAUUAUUUAAACAGCAGAAGAUGGUGUCUAUCUCUGAUUUUUCUUAUUGGACAUCAAAUUAAGUGCAAGUAUGUCUAGUAUGUCUACACUCCUUUGUUUAUGUGGAGAAUAUAGUGAGAGAUGAGACUGUAAAUGCUACAACUUUGUUAGAGUUUAAGUCUUAACAGGUGGCUAUAAUCCAACCUGCAUUUUUGACAAAACACCUCUAGAUCACUGACAGACUUAAAAGAUAUUUGGCAUCUCAGGUCAGGUGCUUCAGUGGUUGAGAUUUUACCUGUCAGAAAGAUCUCAGCAGGUUUUAAUUAACGUUUCCCAGAGCCCUCUGCUGUUAAUGGAGUCCCACAGGGGUCUGUCCUUUGUCCGCUGUUGUUUUCAUUGUACCUGGCACCACUCAGUCAGAUAUUGCAUUCAUUUGGGAAUGAUUUCCACUUCUAUGCUGAUGGGUUGCAAAAAGAGGGGAUCAAAGUUGCCUUUUUCCACCUGAGGGGUAUCGCCAAGAUCAGAUCAACCCUGCUGUUUGGUGAUGCUGAGGUUCCUACUCAUGCCUUUGUUUCAUACAAAUAAGAUGAUAGCAAUGUCCUCCUGUCUUGUCUCAGAAGAGUCUGUGUGGUCUGAAGAUGGUUCAAAAUGCAGCAGCUCUCAUUCUGAAAAGAGUAAAUGGCAACAAAAAGUAUCACACAUGCAAGUUUCAUGGUGCACAUGUUCUGUGAGGCUGGGUUUCUUACACCCUUCGUACCCAUGUAUUUAGCAAACACAGAAUUGUGAGUUACUGCAGCAAGGGUUAUGUGUAUUAUUGGAUCCCAAGGUCUAAAAUAAAUUGCACUCAUGUGACAAUUGUUUUAAAUUUCAUAUUCUUUAAACCCUCCUCGACAUUUAUCAUGUCCUAAUUUAUAACUUUAGUUUUCCCAUUGCUUUGACGACUGUGAAAUGAAUUGCCAUGUCUACAUUUUGUGUGUGUGAAGCAUCUGUCUAACCACAUAUGGACAUACACUUAACACACACACAAUCAGUAGAAACAUGAUCUGUUUCAUAUUUCACUUCAAACGUUGAGAAAAGUUCUGCGGAGAAACUUGGCAGCUCAGACAGCAGAGGUUCGAGAACUCUGUGGGAAAAGAUUUAAAGUAUGAGCUGCAGAUAUAAUGUGCGUGCGUGCGUGCGUGCGUGCGUGCGUGCGUGCGUGCGUGCGUGUGUGUGUUCACUCAGAGAUUUUAGGCAGGCGUAAAAAAAAAAGGGGAUGCACACUAAAUGAAAAUAAAUCCUUUGCACUCUGAGUUAAAACAGAUUAAACAGAGCAGGUGUUGGUUAGUCUGAGACGAUGAUCUUAAGGUCUGCAGAGUCAAGGUUUCAUCUGUGAUCCAUCAGGUAGAAGUCUGUGAUUAAGGUCAGAUCUUUACCAAAAACCAGCAAGCAGAGACAGAGGGAAGAUGGGGACAGAGAAAAGAAAAAGGACAAGAGGCAGUCAUAGCUCAAUGUCACACCAAUGUUUUUCCUAUGCAGGCGGAGGAUCUCUGUGUUUUUAAUCAUAUAAAUGUGGACUAAAGUUCAGGUUGUGAUUCAUGUUUAUUUCUCUCCAUCAGCUGAACGGUCGAGUGUUGGCAGGAAGACUCUCUCUGGGCAGAGCCAGCCUGCAGAGCCGUAAAAGAAGCCAUAAAACUCACCUCCAGAACCAGCUCAGCUGCCGUCCAUAUGGCUGCAGGUUUUACAAGGACAAACUGAACCACCUCCUCCUUGCUGCACCUCCUCACAGCUGCACCUCCUCUCUGCCACCUGCUUCAGUGGACAACAGGGGAAAAUGUGCAGCAACAGCCCAAAGAUUUUUAUAGGAGG